UGCCUGGGAGAUCUCGGACCAGCUGCUGCAGAUCCACCAGGAUGUGGAGUCCUGCUACUUCGCAGCGCAGACCAUGAAGAUGAAGAUCCAAACUUCAUUCUAUGAACUCCCCACGGAUUCCCACGCCUCACUCCGGGACUCUUUGUUGUCCCACAUCCAGAACUUGAAGGACCUGUCCCCGGUCAUUGUCACACAGCUCGCUCUGGCAAUAGCUGACCUUGCCCUGCAGAUGGCUUCGUGGAAGGGCUGUGUGCAGACACUGGUGGAGAAGUACAGCACUG